CACGGACCAGGGAGUCUAGCAUGUUUGCAAGUCGUUGAGUAUAUUAAAUACUCAAAGGCGUAAUUAACGUGAAGGAAUGUUGUAUGACGUACACCCCAUACAUUGUUAUGGUAAAGUGUGCCCAUACACAAUACCGAGGGGAGAUAAGUUAUGUAAUUAGUACACUUCGCAUUCCCGGNGCGUUCCAUAUAAACUCAAUAUUAAUAUAUUUUUAUAUUAUAUUAAGUUUGGGGCGCACCAAGAGCAAACACGCUGGGACCCGAAAGAUGGUGAACUAUGC
rnacentral:rRNA from 1 species